AAUCAACGCUGGCGGCGUGCCUCAGACAUGCAAGUCGAACGAUUAAAGCUCUCUUCGGAGAGUGCAUAAAGUGGCGCACGGGUGAGUAACACGUAAGUAAUCUACCUUCGAGUGGGGAAUAACAUCGGGAAACCGAUGCUAAUACCGCAUAAUGCAGCGGCAUCGCAAGAUGACAGUUGUUAAAGAUUUAUCGCUUGAAGAGGAGCUUGCGGCAGAUUAGCUAGUUGGUAAGGUAAUGGCUUACCAAGGCUACGAUCUGUAACCGGUCUAAGAGGACGGUCGGUCACACUGACACUGAAUAACGGGUCAGACUCCUACGGGAGGCAGCAGUCGGGAAUUUUGGGCAAUGGGCGAAAGCCUGACCCAGCAACGCCGCGUGAAGGAUGAAGUAUUUCGGCAUGUAAACUU
rnacentral:rRNA from 1 species